CUCUUAUCAAGAGUGGCGGAGGGACUGGCCCAAUGAAGCCCGGCAACCGGCCAUAUUUUUGGCAAUGGUGCCAAUUCCUGCGGAUUAAAUUCCGGGAGAUAAGAG
rnacentral:ncRNA from 24 species